rnacentral:rRNA from 1 species
GGUCUGCAACUCGACUGCACGAAGCUGGAAUCGCUAGUAAUCGCGGAUCAGCACGCCGCGGUGAAUACGUUCCCGGGCCUUGUACACACCGCCCGUCACACCAUGGAAGUCUGCAAUGCCCGAAGCCGGUGGCCUAACCACUUAUGUGGAAGGAGCCGUCUAAGGCAGGGCAGAUGACUGGGGUGAAGUCGUAACAAGGUACC